rnacentral:rRNA from 1 species
CCUACGGGUGGCAGCAGUGGGGAAUAUUGCACAAUGGGGGGAACCCUGAUGCAGCGACGCCGCGUGGGUGAGGAAGUACUUCGGUAUGUAAAGCCCUAUCAGCAGGGAAGAAAAUGACGGUACCUGACUAAGAAGCCCCGGCUAACUACGUGCCAGCAGCCGCGGUAAUACGUAGGGGGCAAGCGUUAUCCGGAUUUACUGGGUGUAAAGGGAGCGUAGACGGCAGCGCAAGUCUGGAGUGAAAUGCCGGGGCUCAACCCCGGAACUGCUCUGGAAACUGUGGAGCUGGAGUGCAGGAGAGGUAAGCGGAAUGCAUGGUGUAGCGGUGAAAUGCGUAGAUAUCAGGAGGAACACCGGCGGCGAAGGCGGCUUACUGGACUGUAACUGACGUUGAGGCUCGAAGGCGUGGGGAGCAAACAGGAUUAGAUACCCGAGUAGUC